rnacentral:lncRNA from 1 species
AAUAUCUUUCACACAAAAUAACAUUCUUCUAUCAUUGUCAUAUGGAAGAAAUUCUUGAUGGCAUUGAUUUUUGUACAGGAAGAAGUUCUCCUCUCAAUGUUUUCCAAACGGAUGAUUUGCUCACAUGGAAUUUAUGCACGAUUGAAGCGCAACAAAUUCUGGGUUUUUCAAUUACUGACAUGCAAAUCGCAAGUUUUACUUCCUCUGGUAAAGCUCAACUCGAGUGAUGAACGGGUAUCAAACCUGCAUUGGCAUUCCCAUCUUUUUGGAAUUUCUCAACAACAGAUUUAAUUGUAGACACGGAUG